AUCUAAAAAGAAAAAAUAAAGUUACAUUAUGAUACAAGAAAGAGGUGAUUUAUUUCCACCAAUCAUCGCCAAGAACCUGAUAUUUUCACCAACCACAGUGCAACGUGCAUGAUUUAGAUCCAGCACCUUUAAGCCGCUUACCUAAUGAAUGAUUCAUACCUCAGAUCAAACCCAAGCUACAAGUAGCACAUUGAAUUAACUUGAGAGGGAUAAAAGAACCCACUGUAAGCUCUCUUCCACUCAUUUCAAAAUGAACUCCAAAUCUCUUUGGUUUUCUUAGGAGACUUUCAAAAACUGACCUGUCAGUAGCACACUGAGACUUACUGCAUGACCAGAGGAUAUAAAUGUUAGGCAUGGUACAUUUUUUUUCCUCAAUGCAUUUGACUGUAUAAUUGUUAUAACAGUUUUUUCUUCAUCCAUAUUUACCUUAGCAGACAAAUUACAAGACAGGAAUUCUGAAAAAAUUGGCACUUACUUGAUAUCAAUAAGUCAGUGGGAGAAGUGUGAAGUCUUAUCUUGAUCAGAACAUUCUCAUUGACUGCUUAAGUAAACCACAUCACCAGAUGACUACACCAACCCCACCUAACCCAACACUGCUGUAUGCUGAAAUAAAACACAAGCCAGAAUAAGUGUCUGAACCACAUACUUCCUGGGUGCCUACUGUUCUAAGCACUAUGCUGGCUGCUGGGCGAAUAAAAGCUGGUAAACAAGAGAGGCAUGAUCAUUGGUUUUACAGAUUUUUCAUCUAGAGAGUGAGAAAGUCAUUCAGGAAAUAGUCAUCCAAAUGUGUCAAGUACUGUGAAGGGCAAGUGCUGGGUAUCGUGACAUCAUAAAGUGGAAGGACCUAAUUUAGGUAAGGUAGAAAGGGGAAAGAUAUCAGCAAAGGUCUGAACUUGUUACAAAAACCUUAUUUUCCAUUGCACACUCAAAAUCUCACAAAAGUGACAUAAAAGACAAUCUGAGUGAGCAAAGGAGUGAGGGUUGAUUGAUUCAUUGGAGUUUUAAUUUUUAUCUUGUUUGAAAGUACCUUUUUUUUUUUUUCUCCAGGUAAAUGGGAUACAGGAUUCCACUGAGAAAACAGAAUCAACAAGAGAGAGUAGACAGAGGCUUUCUGAACUGGAAGUCAACAUGAGGCAGCUACCAUAAAGCCAUGGAGUAACUAUCAGUGAGUUUCUGCCAUCAGGAAGAGACUUUUAUGUCUCUCAGGAGUGUUUGCAAGUGGCUUCUGCCUUUGGAUUUCCCUUAGUUGCUCUCACCAUUCACCUACAGACUGACUGAAACUGCAUCUUAACUGGAGGAAACACGAUGAAGAUUCCUGCCAAGAUGUUCAUGGACUUCCAGGUCUAACACUACUGUAUGCUGUGAUCUACAGAUGGUGACAUUUGUGAAGUGCUCCUCUGAGAUGUCAGAGAUAUACCCCAUACGACUCUGCAGCAGGACUGCACAGAGCCAUGGGAACCUGCCAGGGGUGUAGGAGGCAGAGCUACUCUUCCCCACAGAUCUCAUUUCCAGGCACAGAAGAUGCAAGCAGCGACUCAGCCUGUGACUCAGUGAUUCCUACCUGUGUGGGUGCUGAUUACAUGAAUCCCAAAGGUUAAACACGGGCCACAGGGCACUGAGUAUUGGUCUUGUGCAGCACAACAGCUAGGUGGGGGCCAGAAGGACCCUUGAAAGGAGGUACUAUCUAUGCCCCCUUGGGAUCCAGCAGCAGGUGUGGUAACAUUAAAAUGGGAUGGGAGAAAGUGAAUUAUGAAGCCCCACACAGCUAUUUUGUAUCUCUAGUCAGGUAUGAAAGCAUUUUUCUGAAGGGCAGUAUCACGUAGUGGUUAAAAGCUCAAAGUCUGUCUCAGACGUAGGAAUUUCUAUUAGUCUGCCAUUUUGGUUUGCCUCCUCAUGAAGGCGAGGGAGGAGUACCAGCUUACCAGCUUGCCAUUGGGGCCAUGCAGCUAGUUUCAGCCAAUAAGCUGUGAGCAGAAGUGAUCCGUGUCAUUCCCAGAAUAUAACCGCUAGUGAGACUUCCCAGCACUGUCUUCCCUGCUAUGGCAUCCAUGGGGCUAUGUGCCCAGGUUGUGACGUUUCAAGAUAGUAAGGCCUCCCUUAUUCUGGGCCUUGGAGUAAUUGUCUAGGUGUGUAACGUAAGUAACAAUAAACUUGUUGCGUCGUGCCAUAUAAUUUGAGGGUUGUAGGUGAGCUUUGAGGGUUAUUGGUGGGUUUUGAUUACUACAGUAUAACCUAGUUUAUUCUUACAAAUACAAUCUCUUCUUAACUGAGUGAUCAUGAGCAACUCUGAACUUCUGAGUAUCGAUUUCCUCAUUUGUCAAAGGGAGAAAAUUGCAGCACGCGCCUCAUAAAAUGGAUAAAAAACAUUUGCUUGUCAAGUGCCUAGGGACGUGUCCAGUAUAUAAUGAGUGUCUUACAAAUGUUACCUCUCAGCCAAAUUUGAUUGUCCAGGAGAUAGAAAGCAAAAAGAGAACUCGUCUGUCAAAUUAUCUCAACUCAUGUCUAAAAAGAGAAUCAAAAGUCUGAAAAAAGAAUCAAAAGAAAGAGAGAGAGAGAAGACAGGAGAGAGAGAGGAGAUGCCCUUUGAAAACAUAUCUCAUUUACAGAGCAGUUAAUGGGAUCCUCAUCAAAACAACCAACACUUUAUUGCCCAAAUCACAUAUGCCAAUGUGUUCAAAGCCCCAUGAAAUCUGAACUACUUCAACUAUUUUCAGAUAAAUAUCUGCUGAGAAAAAAAAAAAAAAAGGCUUUAACUCCCCAGAACAACAUUCUUCUGCGUCAUUCCUCUCCCUCCUAAAUAUAUCCCAAGAUAGGCAGUGGCAGACCUCUGGGAAAACAGGAAUGAUUUCUAGAAGCUCUUCCUUAGGUUCUCACAGCAAGGAGGAAAGCAGGCUCAGGGUGUGGCAUCCCUGCCUGCCUUCUCCACACACACAUUCUCCUUGAGGUGUCUCAGCAUAGCAGAGGUGUGGUUAAGGUGAGUAUCACUCCACCCAUCAGACGUCUUCUUGGCCAAGCCUCAUAUGACCCAAAGUCUCAUAAAUAAAACUGUGCAGUAGCAGGAAUGAUGGGGAUGUAUUGACUGUCCUCUGUUGCCUUCCCCAAUAGACUACUGGGUGUGUCAAGAACAAUCUGCCCUCAACAAAAUCAUCUUUUUCUAAAAAAUUCAUUGAAAGUCUCCUAUUCAAGUAUCCCCUAGCCUAGGCAAGCUUGUUGAGUGAGGCAUGACACCAUCACAGCCCAGAUGUGGUGGCAAAGGGCUGUGAUGGUGUCAGGCCUCAAAAAGCUCAGGAAGGCCUCACACUGGGGCUGCAGGGUGCUUCCCAAGCAUCACACUUGGGAGAGCCAGCUUCCCAAUGGGUGCUGUUCUGGCUUGUCCUGACGGUAACCACACAGUGGAGUCACCAAUAUCCUAGGACAGUUUUGCAGUUCUUUGAAGCUAGUGUGGCAUAGUUUAGCUCAGAAUCUAAGCCCCUUCUCUGGUGAGGAUAAUAUCACAAAGACCAGGUUUUCCCAAACACCCAUCCAGCUCCCUACUAAAAAAAAACGCAUGAACCUUCCAUUUACAUCCAUGUUGGGUUGCCAACAUCCUCCUCUGAACCAACAUCCAAGAAAGACGACUCACCUUAAGAAUUAAAGACACAGCCUGCCUGGGAACCUGGACACAAAAUUAUUUACAUCCAUAGUGACAGCGUCCAAAGCCUGUGCUUAGGUCUUUCAAAGUGGCAGAGUCAAAGAUGAAAUGGUUGGAUCCCAGGCAGAAUUUUUUUCAACCUUACUUCAAAGGGAGCAACAUUUUUGUAGCCCCUCCGCAAAAAUGGGAUAAAUGGUCCUAUUGUCUUGACUCUAUCAAUAUUGGUAGUGGAGGAUAACAUGAAGACCCUAUUUCCUCCACUCUCCAUCUGUACUUUGAUUCUUGUAGAUAUGCAUCCAUCUACUUCCAUCUGUUCUGUCAAGUGCAGAGAGAAGAUGGUAACUUUUUCAAGAAGUCUAAACCAAGUUAGAAAAAUCUCAUCACACAGGACCUAGAAGCCUCCAGUUGUGGAACUCUCCAGUCCACAAGCCCAAUUCCAAUAGCAAAUUGAAGGGUCUGGAAACAAAAAGAGGCGGGAAACUCACGCAUUCUUGUAUAUUUUUUAUGCUCUCUCUGCCUCUUAAUUGUUUUUCAUACAACAUUCACGAUUCAUAAAAUUCAUGAGUUCAUACUAGAUUCAUACUACAUUCAUGUUGAGACCUCUAAAAGGACAUCACUAAGCCUGGUUUCUAUGUUAUGGACUCAAUACUUCAUCAGUCUCACAAGGAAGUCCAGAAACAUCCUGGGAAAGUGGGAAGUGGAAUGUGGAGUAUCUCCUUUUGUUUCUCCUCACAAUCUUAAAUUUCUUCUCUUACCCGUAAUGAAUCCAAGAAGCUAUAAGAUAUAAAAUAAUAAUUGAUGGACUAUAAUUUCUUUUCUUAAAGUUCUAUAGUUCUGGAUUUUAAUGAUAUUAAGAUCAUCUGAAUCUAGUCCACAACAUAGCAGUUAGUCAUUUGACAUUUCUCACUGACCCACCUCCCCAACCCCCAGCUGAGUAAUAUGGCUCAAAGAUAAAAAGAACUGGUUCUUCCUUGUUAAGACUGUUUAUCUAGGGUUAAAUUUCUGAAAUGGAUUUCUAUAAUUCAUGGAACUCAUUUGCAAACCCCAAGUAACCAACAUCCACUGAUCCAAUGUUUCCUUUCCACAGGCUGCUUCUAUCAUUCAAGACAGUAAAAAAAUCAAUGAUAUUUCUUUCCUGAACUUUCUUCCAAUUGAUUUUACAGAUGGGGCCCUCACUAUGUACAAUGCCAUGUAAUUCACAACUAAAAGAAGGCAUUUCUAUGUGGACAAACUUUUAGCUACAUUGAAUUCUAUCAGAUAAUGUACAAAUUUCAGAGGAUAAAAACAGUCUCUUUCUCGUAAAGGUCAUUCCCACCCAUUUUCAAGUCCUCGUAUUACAAAUAAACAUUGAGCACAUACUAUGCACAAAACAAUUUUGGUCUGUGUAUUUUUCCCAUAAUACUUUCAUAUUUCAUUUAUUUCUCUAUGUCUUCUACUCCCCUAAAAAGCCAUUAUUCUGAAAUGAAACUUUUUUUUGUUUUUUAGAAGCAAGCUCAAGGCACGCUUUCUCACCUUCAAGCCCAGUCCAUGUUCUUAAAGUUGCAGAGAGUUGUCUUUCAGGGUCCCCUUCAAUGCCAACGCCCCCCCCUCCACCACCACCAAUUUUCAAGGGACAAUAAAUCAUCUAUUUCCACACUGAAACUGAAACUGACAACUGCUGAGAGCGUCUGCCAAAGGGUGUGUCAUAGCCAAAGGCAGUUAGAGUCCCUACCAGCAUCCUGUUCUCAGACUUGGGGACCUGAGAUACCACUGGAAUUUGCCUAAAUGCCAGAAUCAAUAACAGAGCUCCCAGUGGAAAGUUCAGGAUGUCCCCCAGACCACUCCCUCAACCUGCUGAAUACAACAUGCUUCUUGCAGGAGGAUGCUGUGUUUAUCAACCAGGGGACCCUAGAGACGCUGUACUUGUAAC
rnacentral:lncRNA from 1 species